UCUCCGAAGACAGAUUUCUAUGUAUCUCUCAAUAUUUAGUUUUGGGCAAAUGGCCAGCAGCAUGGGCAAUGAUGAAGACGACGAAAACACAGACAUAAUUUUUCUAAGAGUGAUGAGAUUCAUCUCAAAAUCAAAUCAAGGAAAUACCAAAGGAAGAUCGUGCGUGAACAUGUAAAUGGAACGCAUCUUCACGGUAUUUGUUCCAAUGACGGUAUUCUUAUACCGUCAAUGGUUCUUUUGCUGGUGCUGGUGUUGUUGAUCUGAUAUUGAUGGUGUUGCUGUUCAUUUCGUCAAAACGGUAUUGGAUAUCUUGAUUUUUCCAAGAAAAGAGGUUUUACAACUUGUUACAUAUGGUCUUGUCCACCUAUAAAGGGAGAAGAUUAUCUAUUCUACUGUCAUCCUGAAUCUCAAAAAACUCCGAAGAAAAAUCAACUACGACAUUGGUAUCAUUGAGCUCUAAGAAAGGCUGUUGAAGAGGAUAUUGUUGUUGGUUUAUCUAACAUAUACGAUCAUUUCUUUCUUCCUACUGGAAAAUGUGAAUCCAAGGUAACAGUUGCUCGUUUGCCUUACUUUGACGGAGACUUCUGGUCUGGUGCUGCUAUGGAUAAAGCCAACCAGAUUGAACAGCAUACGAGAGGAAACCGUGAAAAAUGCUGAAAUUAAUACCAAGCAGAUCUUUAAAGUCGAUGGGAUGGGUAAAUCUUUCCAAAGCAACUGCCAAAGAUAUUCUAGUGAUGCAGAUGGUAAGUUUCUAACCUUCGUUUGUUUGAUAUAUUAACUCUUCAUAGUUGGUUCUUCUUUGAUGGUUUAGUUAGUUUAUCAAUCCUUCUUAUGAAAGAUUGAACCGGUUAUUAAAUAAAGAGACAUUGGAGUUUGAGAUCUAAUAAUCAAAGAAAAACAGUUCAAUUGUUAACAUUUUUGGAUUAAUAAAACAGGAAGUUGUUCUUCAUGAACACAUAUAGAUAUCAUGUUAGACUAUUAGUUUUUCUUACUGAAACAAAGGUACCCUUAGUCCUGCAUUAUUAGAUAUUGAAAUUAGUCCAUGUCAUCGUUAUUCUACUACUACUUUGUCUAUAAAUUUGACUCUUUCAACUUUUCUUCUGUCUGUUUUUAUUAGUUAAUCCUAGACCGAUAUGAUAUUUAUCUGCAGUUUCCCUGUUGUAUAUUGUUCUAUAUUUACGUAAAUGAAUCUUAUCCAGUGGAAUAUAUUCUUUUAUAUUUGCUGGUAUUUGAUCUUUCUUCCUUUUCUUUUUACCACCCUAUAACCAGCUGAGACAAACCAUAUCACCUUUCAAGGAAGAUUUUAUUGUAGUUCGUAUGUUUGCAUCCACUGCCAUAAAGUGAUAUAGUGUGGGAAGUGAUGGUUUUGCAAGGAGUGCAAAAUAUUUCAGGAGUGUGAGAGCAGAAAUUGUUUUCGUUGCAAAGAGAGAAGGAACUUCUUUGUGUUUUUGGAAAUAGUACAACAAAGGGAGAAAAAGUUGAACUAGAAAGAGAAAAAGCUGGAUAGAAAAGAAAAAAGAAAAAGUUCGCCACACGUCAGCAUGAAAUUAACGCUGUUGUUGUUCACUUAACGGAGAUGAUCUUAUUGAUACAAUUUUCAUAAUAUAGGGACUCAAUGUCUUCAUUUUUAAAACCGGAUAUUAUAACAGAAAUUCACCAUGGAGACGAAA